rnacentral:rRNA from 1 species
ACCAAGCCGAUGGCGGGUAGCUGUUCUGAGAGGAAGAUCAGCCACACUGGCACAGAGAUACGGGCCAGACUCCUACGGGAGGCAGCAGUGAGGAAUAUUGCACAAUGGGCGAAAGCCUGAUGCAGCGACGCCGCGUGGGUGACGAAGGCCUUCGGGUCGUAAAACCCUUUUGGCAGGGACGAGUGAGGACGGUACCUGCCGAAUAAGUCUCGGCUAACUACGUGCCAGCAGCCGCGGUAAAACGUAGGAGGCGAGCGUUAUCCGGAUUCACUGGGCGUAAAGCGCGCGUAGGCGGUUAGGUAAGUCGGACGUUAAAGCCCCUGGCUCAACUGGGGGAGUCGUUCGAUACUGCUUGGCUUGAGGGUGAGAGAGGAAAGUGGAAUUCCCGGUGUAGCGGUGGAAUGCGUAGAGAUCGGGAGGAACACCAGUGGCGAAGGCGGCUUUCUGGCUCACUUCUGACGCUGAGAGCGCGAAAGCGUGGGGAGCAAACGGGAUUAGAUACCCCGGUAGUCCACGCUCUAAACGAUGAGGGCUGGGUGUUGGCAGGGUUUCCUGUCUGUGCCGAAGCAAACGCGUUAAGCCCUCCGCCUGGGGACUACGAACGCAAGUUUAAAACUCAAAGGAAUUGACGGGGGCCCGCACAAGCAGCGGAGCGUGUGGUUCAAUUCGAUUCAACACGAAGAACCUUACCAGGGUUUGACAUGCAAGUGGUAGUGAAGGGAAACUGGAACGACCCGCAAGGGAGCUUGCACAGGUGCUGCAUGGCUGUCGUCAGCUCGUGCCGUGAGGUGUUGGGUUAAGUCCCGCAACGAGCGCAACCCCUUUCGCUAGUUACAUGUGUCUAGCGAUACUGCCAGGUUAACCCUGGAGGAAGGCGGGGAUGAAGUCAAGUCAGCAUGGCCUUUAUAUCCUGGGCUACACACACGCUACAAUGGGUGCUACAGAGCGUUGCCAAGCCGUGAGGCGGAGCUAAUCGCACAAAAGCAUCCUCAGUUCAGAUUGCAGGCUGCAACUUGCCUGCAUGAAGUCGGAGUUGCUAGUAAACGCGCGUCAGCUAUAGUGCGUUGAAUGCGUUCCCGGGCCUUGUACACACCGCCCGUCACGUCAUGGGAGCUGGUAACACCUGAAGUCGGUGACCUACCGCAAGGAAGGAGCCGCCGAGGGUGGGACUGGUAACUAGGACGAAGUCGAAACAAGGUAGCUGUACCGGAAGGUGCGGCUG